rnacentral:rRNA from 1 species
UAUCUCUGUAGAGUCUGCAUAUCAAUAAGCGGAGGAAAAGAAACUAACUAGGAUUCCCUCAGUAACGGCGAGUGAAGCGGGAAGAGCUCAAAUUUGAAAUCUUCAAGGUUUUACCUUGACGAAUUGUAGUUUAAAGAAGUGUUUUCUGUUGGAGUUUUGGUAAAAGUUCUUUGGAAUAGGACAUCAUAGAGGGUGAGAAUCCCGUAUUUGACCAUUAUUUCCAGCUUUGUGAUACACUUUCAAAGAGUCGGAUUGUUUGGGAAUGCAGUCCAAAAUGGGUGGUAAAUUUCAUCUAAAGCUGAAUACUGGCGAGAGACCGAUAGCGAACAAGUACCGUGAGGGAAAGAUGAAAAGAACUUUGAAAAGAGAGUUAAACAGUACGUGAAAUUGUCAAAAGGGAAGCGUUUGACACCAGUGUUGUUUUCUCGAAAAUCAAUUAAAAAUGACUGGAUUUUGUGUUGUAUUGACUUUAUCAGCUUUCUGCACUCUUUUCCUGUCUUUUUUAAUGCACUUUUCGUUUAGCAAGUCAACAUCAAUUUCUUUUGUUGUAAAAGAGUCAUUGGAAGGUGGCUUUCUUUUCGGAGAAAGUGUUUAUAGCCUUUGGCCUCUGCAAUCGGAGAGAUUGAGGUCUGCAGCGUAGAUCCUUCGGGGUUAGAUACAUUUGUGCUAAGUUAUAACCGUUUCAUAGACAACUUGUUGACUAUAUUCGAUCAUGUAGCUUACUCGCUUAUGCUAAUUUUACCUACGCUUAGGAUGUUGAGUCAUCACACAUCUCU